UACGUAGGGUGCAAGCGUUGUCCGGAUUUACUGGGCGUAAAGGGCGUGCAGGCGGUUUGUCUAGUCUAGGGUGAAAGCUCCCGGCUUAACUGGGAGAGGUCCUUGGAUACUGGCAAACUUGAGGGAGGCAGAGGAAAGUGGAAUUCCCGGUGUAGUGGUGAUAUGCGUAGAUAUCGGGAGGAACACCAGCGGCGAAGGCGGCGCUCUGGGCCGGGAACUGACGCUGAGGAGCGAAAGCAUGGGGGAGCGAACAGG
rnacentral:rRNA from 1 species